GACGUAGGGCGCGAGCGUUGUCCGGAUUUAUUGGGCGUAAAGCGCGCGUAGGUGGCCCGGUAAGUCCGCUCUGAAAGUCACAGGCUCAACCUGUGAAAGCGGGUGGAUACUGCCGGGCUAGAGUCCGGAAGAGGCGAGUGGAAUUCCUGGUGUAGCGGUGGAAUGCGCAGAUAUCAGGAGGAACACCAACGGCGAAGGCAGCUCGCUGGGACGGUACUGACACUGAGGCGCGAAAGCGUGGGGAGCGAACAGG
rnacentral:rRNA from 1 species